CUCUUAACUGACCUCACCGCCAUGGCUCGACGAUCAGUAGUGAUCCUCCGACCUCCACCACCUCCUAACAAAGCCCCGAUAGGUCACCUGCAUGCCUUGACCCGACGAUAGAGCUCCGCGUGUGGUAUGAUCUCUGGUGACGGAAUCGAACCGCUUGUCACGAACACCGUCGCGCCUCUUGAAUUCUUGCUCAGACGACGCAAAGGCAAUCUUCACUGCUAUGAUUGUCAGAGGCGAGCUCGGGCGAGCAUAAAUGGCUAUAGAUCGGGCGAGCUCGGGGCUCCAAUACCCUGAGCGGUUCUACGUGGCAGCCUCCUACGCCGGUUUUGACGGAUCUCCUCGCUCCUCGUCUAAAGCCGUUCGCGCCAAGUUCAACUCUGAGUCCGCUCUCAUCCUCUACGCUCUCUAUAAGCAGUGAUAGUGUUUUGGCAACCAUGGUGAAAAGCAAAUUGAUGGAUCCGUUUUACGGCUUGGUAAAUGAAUAUCAAUCAUAGAUAUUGUUGAUUCAGGGAGGCAGUGGUGCACAUUCUGGUACUUUAAGACCUUUCAGUGUAAGCUGUCAGGUACUCAGCACCUGGAUCUGAAUUUCAGUGGAAUCAAUUACUAUGCAGAGGUAUAUUUAAAUGGGCACAAAAAGGUCCUUCCAAGAGGGAUGUUUCGAAGGCAUUCUCUAGAUGUCACUGAUAUAGUACAUGACAGUGAAAAUAUGCUUGCUGUUGUUGUUUACCCCAGAUCAUUGUGGUUAUGUUUUAUUUUGUUUAAUGCGCUUAUGGGAGGUUGUCCUAAUUGAAAAAAGUGUUUUGGUU